rnacentral:rRNA from 1 species
AUUGAACGCUGGCGGCAGGCCUAACACAUGCAAGUCGAGCGAGCGGCGGACGGGUGAGUAAUGUCUGGGAAACUGCCUGAUGGAGGGGGAUAACUACUGGAAACGGUAGCUAAUACCGCAUACCAUCAGAUGUGCCCAGAUGGGAUUAGCUAGUAGGUGGGGUAACGGCUCACCGAGGCGACGCUCCCUAGCUGGUCUGAGAGGCUGACCAGCCACACUGAAACGGAGACACGGUCCAGACUCCUACGGGAGGCAGCAGUGGGUAAUAUUGCACAAUGGGAGCAAGCCCGAUGCAGCCAUGCCGCGUGUAUGAAGAAGGCCUUCGGGUUGUAAAGUACUUUCAGCGGGGAGGCGUUACCCGCAGAAGAAGCACCGGCUAACUCCGUGACAGCAGCCGCGGUAAUAC